GAUGAAGAACGUAGCGAACGUGCGAAACGUAAUGUGAAUUGCAGAAUUCAGUGAAUCAUCGAAUCUUUGAACGCAUCUUGCGCUCCUUGGUAUUCCGAGGAGCAUGCCUGUUUGAGUGUCGUGAAUACUCUCAACUUCAACCCUUUUUUCGGAAAGGGAGGAAGGUUGGACUUGGGUGUUUGUUGAAGUGCGAGCUUCGACUCAUCCGAAAUGCAUUAGCGAUCUGCCUCGAUCACACACAAUGUGAUAAUUAAAACUAAAGCAUUGUUUAAUGAUCAAGUCGAGACUGCUUCUAACUGUCGCAAGACAAUAACGUGCAUACAUUUGUGCAUGUCAUUUGACCUCAAAUCAGGUAGGACUACCCGCUGAACUUAAGCAUAUCAAUAAGCGGAGGA
rnacentral:misc_RNA from 1 species